GUCUUGGUGGCUCAGUUGGCAGAGCGCUGGAGUACCGAUCCGGAGGCCGUGAGUUCAAGUCUCAGCCAAGACA
rnacentral:tRNA from 1 species